CAGUUUAGGAUUUAGGGCGGCUAGGGGAGCAGCGGCGACGGAGGCGAGUAGCUGUGGCGGAGCCGAGCAGAGGCAGCGGCUGCGUGCUGGCCAAGUCUCCUUUCCUCUGUGCUCGCCAGAUCCCCUUUCCUCUCUGUGCUCGCCCUUUCCUCUAUGUGCAGAUCGCCAAAGCGGCGAGGCGACACCAAUCAGCGGCGGAGGCGAGCAGCGGCGAUGGCGGCGGCUGCGUGCAGUCGCCAGAUCCCCUUUCCUCUCUCCGGAAAAUUGAAAGAACUUGCUGCACCGCCGAUGGAUUGCAGCAGCUUUCGAU
rnacentral:lncRNA from 1 species